UGGGACUGAGACACGGCCCAGAUUCCUACGGGAGGCAGCAGUGGGAAUAUUGGACAAUGGGCGCAAGCCUGAUCCAGCCAUGCCGCGUGUGUGAAGAAGGCCUUUUGGUUGUAAAGCACUUUAAGCGAGGAGGAGGCUACUUGGAUUAAUACUCUAGGAUAGUGGACGUUACUCGCAGAAUAAGCACCGGCUAACUCUGUGCCAGCAGCCGCGGUAAUACAGAGGGUGCGAGCGUUAAUCGGAUUUACUGGGCGUAAAGCGUGCGUAGGCGGCUUUUUAAGUCGGAUGUGAAAUCCCUGAGCUUAACUUAGGAAUUGCAUUCGAUACUGGGAAGCUAGAGUAUGGGAGAGGAUGGUAGAAUUCCAGGUGUAGCGGUGAAAUGCGUAGAGAUCUGGAGGAAUACCGAUGGCGAAGGCAGCCAUCUGGCCUAAUACUGACGCUGAGGUACGAAAGCAUGGGGAGCAAACAGGAUUAGAUACCCUGGUAGUCCAUGCCGUAAACGAUGUCUACUAGCCGUUGGGGCCUUUGAGGCUUUAGUGGCGCAGCUAACGCGAUAAGUAGACCGCCUGGGGAGUACGGUCGCAAGACUAAAACUCAAAUGAAUUGACGGGGGCCCGCACAAGCGGUGGAGCAUGUGGUUUAAUUCGAUGCAACGCGAAGAACCUUACCUGGUCUUGACAUAGUAAGAACUUUCCAGAGAUGGAUUGGUGCCUUCGGGAACUUACAUACAGGUGCUGCAUGGCUGUCGUCAGCUCGUGUCGUGAGAUGUUGGGUUAAGUCCCGCAACGAGCGCAACCCUUUUCCUUAUUUGCCAGCGGGUUAAGCCGGGAACUUUAAGGAUACUGCCAGUGACAAACUGGAGGAAGGCGGGGACGACGUCAAGUCAUCAUGGCCCUUACGACCAGGGCUACACACGUGCUACAAUGGUCGGUACAAAGGGUUGCUACCUAGCGAUAGGAUGCUAAUCUCAAAAAGCCGAUCGUAGUCCGGAUUGGAGUCUGCAACUCGACUCCAUGAAGUCGGAAUCGCUAGUAAUCGCGGAUCAGAAUGCCGCGGUGAAUACGUUCCCGGGCCUUGUACACACCGCCCGUCACACCAUGGGAAUUUGUUGCACCAGAAGUAGGUAGUCUAACCGCAAGGAGGACGCUU
rnacentral:rRNA from 1 species